CUUCGGGAGUGAGUACAGCGGCGGACGGGUGAGUAACGCGUGAGAAUCUGCCCUUUAGUGAAGAAUACCCCCGAGAAAUUGGGGUUAAUACUGCAUACGUCUCUUCGGAGAGAAAGGUGGCUUUAUGCUGCCGCUAAAGGAUGAGCUCGCGUACUAUUAGCUUGUUGGUAGGGUAAAGGCCUACCAAGGCUAUGAUGGUUAACCGGCCUGAGAGGGUGUACGGUCACAUUGGAACUGAGACACGGUCCAGACUCCUACGGGAGGCAGCAGUGAGGAAUAUUGCGCAAUGGGCGAAAGCCUGACGCAGCGACGCCGCGUGAAGGAUGAAGGCCUUCGGGUCGUAAACUUCUGUUAAGUGGGAAGAAAGGCUUGCUUUUAAUAGAAGCAGGAAAUGACGGUACCACUAGAGAAAGCACCGGCUAACUUCGUGCCAGCAGCCGCGGUAAUACGAGGGGUGCAAGCGUUAUUCGGAAUUAUUGGGCGUAAAGGGUGCGUAGACGGUUUGUUAAGUUGGUUGUUAAAUCCUUCGGCUUAACCGAAGGCUUGCGAUCAAAACUGGCAGACUAGAGGAUGGAAGAGAGAAGUGGAAUUCUCGGAGUAGCGGUAAAAUGCGUAGAUCUCGAGAGGAACACCAAUGGCGAAGGCAGCUUCUUGGUCCAUUCCUGACGUUGAGGCACGAAAGCGUGGGUAGCAAACAGGA
rnacentral:rRNA from 1 species